CCUAGGGAGGAGGGUAGUUGGGGCUAAAUGUUAGUUUGUUUGGCGUUGACGCUAUAUCAUUGGCUAGAACUGAAUGGGCUGAGGUGUAUUACCGGUACCUGAGCAGUAGAAAGAGACAUAUUUAAUAAGGUCAGACCACACUGUGGUCCCAGCUACACAGAGACAUCUUUAAUAAGGUCAGACCACACUGAGGUCCCAGCUACACAGAGACAUCUUUAAUAAGGUCAGACCACACUGAGGUCCCAGCUACACAGAGACAUCUUUAAUAAGGUUAGACCACACUGAGGUCCCAGCUACACAGAGACAUCUUUAAUAAGGUCAGACCACACUGAGGUCCCAGCUACACAGAGACAUCUUUAAUAAGGUCAGACCACACUGAGGUCCCAGCUACACAGAGACAUCUUUAAUAAGGUCAGACCACACUGAGGUCCCAGCUACACAGAGACAUCUUUAAUAAGGUCAGACCACACUGAGGUCCCAGCUACACAGAGACAUCUUUAAUAAGGUUAGACCACACUGAGGUCCCAGCUACACAGAGACAUCUUUAAUAAGGUCAGACCACACUGAGGUCCCAGCUACACAGAGACAUCUUUAAUAAGGUCAGACCACACUGAGGUCCCAGCUACAGAGACAUCUUUAAUAAGGUCAGACCACACUGAGGUCCCAGCUACACAGAGACAUCUUUAAUAAGGUCAGACCACACUGAGGUCCCAGCUACACAGAGACAUCUUUAAUAAGGUCAGACCACACUGAGGUCCCAGCUACACAGAGACAUAUUUAAUAAGGUCAGACUACACUGAGGUCCCAGCUAAACAGAGACAUCUUUAAUAAGGUUAGACCACACUGAGGUCCCAGCUACACAGAGACAUCUUUAAUAAGGUCAGACCACACUGAGGUCCCAGCUACACAGAGACAUCUUUAAUAAGGUCAGACCACACUGAGGUCCCAGCUACAGAGACAUCUUUAAUAAGGUCAGACCACACUGAGGUCCCAGCUACAGAGACAUCUUUAAUAAGGUCAGACCACACUGAGGUCCCAGCUACAGAGACAUCUUUAAUAAGGUCAGACCACACUGUGGUCUCAGAGUAAAGGCACAAAGCUUCACCCAACAGGAUAUAAGCGACAAUAUCAUCAAUAUAGGUGUGACAGUAUUUGAGUGCGUCCAUAAAUGGCACCCUAUUCCCUAUAUAGCAUCCUACGUUUGACUGGCUCCUAUGACUGAGUAGUAUGCCCUUUACUUCUAACUGGGGGAAAAAAGUAGGGCCCUAUAUAGGGAAUGUGUUGAUAUUUAAGACACAAGCCUGUCAUCACAGAACGAACCAACAAACACCCAAAACAUAAGGGUGAGAAUGAUAAACCAGGUAUUCAAACCCACAUACCCAGGCCAUUGAGCGCCUUCAGAGACUGUGUUAGCCCGCUGAGUUAAAGACAAGGCAUUACCCUAGGGUGCUAACGCGAGUCUUCAGAUCUCAGGCAAUGUUAUUCACAGAGACCACAGGCUUACUGGUCAAAGACUCAUGAGACCACAGGCUUACUGGUCAAAGACUCAUGAGACCACAGGCUGACUGGUCAAAGAGUCAUGAGACCACAGGCUUACUGGUCAAAGACUCAUGAGACCACAGGCUUACUGGUCAAAGACUCAUGAGACCACAGGCUUACUGGUCAAAGACUCAUGAGACCACAGACUUACUGGUCAAAGACUCAUGAGACCACAGGCUUACUGGUCAAAGACUCAUGAGACCACAGGCUUACUGGUCAAAGACUCAUGAGACCACAGGCUUACUGGUCAAAGAGUCAUGAGACCACAGGCUUACUGGUCAAAGAGUCAUGAGACCACAGACUUACUGGUCAAAGACUCAUGAGACCACAGACUUACUGGUCAAAGACUCAUGAGACCACAGGCUUACUGGUCAAAGACUCAUGAGACCACAGGCUUACUGGUCAAAGACUCAUGAGACCACAGGCUUACUGGUCAAAGACUCAUGAGACCACAGGCUUACUGGUCAAAGAGUCAUGAGACCACAGACUUACUGGUCAAAGACUCAUGAGACCACAGACUUACUGGUCAAAGACUCAUGAGACCACAGGCUUACUGGUCAAAGACUCAUGAGGGGAUAGAGGGCACAGCAUGGAGUACAUUACUUGGUAGUGAACCACUGGUUUAUCCGAGCCAAAUAACCUCUGUUACACUUGUGCCACCAUAUACAAUAUGUUAAACACUCAUCUUGUAGGGGUUAAAACCCCUGAGAUUAUAAACCACAUUCACAGGUUUGAAAAACUCUGGUAACUUAAAAAUGUUUUUUUAAAUAAAUGGAUUUCUAGAAUUCCUGGUUGGAAUGUUGGAUUUCUUGCUUAUUCCCGCUUGGUUCCGUGAAUCUUCUAACACUGAUUUAUGGAAUAUGUGGGAAAUUUGGCCGAAUUUUGCAGCCCUAGUCAGUCAUUCACAGGUAAGGCCGUCACAUAAACAAACGUAAAUCUGGACUCCCCUCUGAGCAACAUACUCAGCUGUCCGAGUUCAUAACCACUACCCUCUGAGCAACAUACUCAGCUGUCUGAGUUCAUAACCACUACCCUCUAGGCAACAUACUCAGCUGUCUGAGUUCAUAACCACUACCCUCUGAGCAACAUACUCAGCUGUCUGAGUUCAUAACCACUACCCUCUGAGCAACAUACUCAGCUGUCCGAGUUCAUAACCACUACCCUCUGAGCAACAUACUCAGCUGUCUGAGUUCAUAACCACUACCCUCUGAGCAACAUACUCAGCUGUCUGAGUUCAUAACCACUACCCUCUGAGCAACAUACUCAGCUGUCUGAGUUCAUAACCACUACCCUCUGAGCAACAUACUCAGCUGUCUGAGUUCAUAACCACUACCCUCUGAGCAACAUACUCAGCUGUCUGAGUUCAUAACCACUACCCUCUGAGCAACAUACUCAGCUGUCUGAGUUCAUAUCCACUACCCUCUGAGCAACAUACUCAGCUGUCUGAGUUCAUAACCACUACCCUCUGAGCAACAUACUCA